rnacentral:misc_RNA from 1 species
CUGCUGGUAGUGGUCGCGGAUGCAGCAUCAGCGCUGUUAAUUUCCGCGGCCGGGAAUUACCGCAGUCAAAAUAAUAGCCAGGCGCGGAUCGGAAACCGGCCGUACCCGGCGCACGGUCAGGUGCGGUGGUCGUCCGGCCGGCCGCCGGCGGGUCCCUCUGCGUCCCAGCAGCGCCUCUCGUCGUCGCCUAGCUCCUCGCUGCACGAGCACGUACGCGUCGAUCAGCAGGGGCCACCCCCCAACGCGUACGGUACGUACGGCCGCGAACGCCCAGUCGCCGGGCAGCAACAUGGAGGGGCCCGGGGGCGUCAGCUUCGGUGGCGCCCCUCGCGGUACGCCGAUCGGCAUCGCGCCGGUCACCGGCGUAGGACACGUCGUUCCCGGCCUGUACCACACCGCUGGGCGAUGAAUGCGGCCCAGCCCAGCCCCACCUCUGUGACUGUGAGCAUGAAUAUGAUCGCGCAGGCGCAGUACGCCAGUACUACGUACUCUUCCAGCUGCUUCAUUGCAUGCAUGCACCGCCCCCGCCUCGAUCGACCGCCCGGUCUCCGCGGUCCACGCCGGCCGCGCUCGCUCGCACGGGACGUACUCGUACACACUACGCUAACAAACAAGCAGACAGUACCGAUGUUUAGGUAA